UGCAGACUUUUCCAUCUUUCUUAGGAACAAACACAAUAUUGUCCACCCACUGCGGAUACUCGGAGGUAACAAGGAAACCAGCAUCAAUUUGCUUCUGCACUUCCUCUUUGAUCUUAACUGCCAUAUCAGGAUGAGUUCUCCUUAAUUUAUGCUCGAUCGACGGACAUUCUGGCUUCAACAGAAAUCUAUACUCCACAAUCUCAGAAUCCA
rnacentral:lncRNA from 1 species